rnacentral:rRNA from 1 species
UACGUAGGGUGCGAGCGUUGUCCGGAAUUACUGGGCGUAAAGAGCUCGUAGGUGGUUUGUCGCGUUGUUCGUGAAAACUCACAGCUCAACUGUGGGCGUGCGGGCGAUACGGGCAGACUGGAGUACUGCAGGGGAGACUGGAAUUCCUGGUGUAGCGGUGGAAUGCGCAGAGUAUCAGGAGGAACACCGGUGGCGAAGGCGGGUCUCUGGGCCGGUACUGACGCUGAGGAGCGAAAGCGUGGGGAGCAA